CCUACGGGAGGCAGCAGUGGGGAAUAUUGCACAAUGGGCGCAAGCCUGAUGCAGCGACGCCGCGUGAGGGAUGACGGCCUUCGGGUUGUAAACCUCUUUCAGUAGGGAAGGAGCGAAAGUGACGGUACCUGCAGAAGAAGCGCCGGCUAACUACGUGCCAGCAGCCGCGGUAAUACGUAGGGCGCAAGCGUUAUCCGGAAUUAUUGGGCGUAAAGAGCUCGUAGGCGGUUUGUCGCGUCUGCCGUGAAAGUCCGGGGCUCAACUCCGGAUCUGCGGUGGGUACGGGCAGACUAGAGUGAUGUAGGGGAGACUGGAAUUCCUGGUGUAGCGGUGAAAUGCGCAGAUAUCAGGAGGAACACCGAUGGCGAAGGCAGGUCUCUGGGCAUUAACUGACGCUGAGGAGCGAAAGCAUGGGGAGCGAACAGGAUUAGAUACCCUGGUAGUCCAUGCCGUAAACGUUGGGCACUAGGUGUGGGGGACAUUCCACGUUUUCCGCGCCGUAGCUAACGCAUUAAGUGCCCCGCCUGGGGAGUCGGCCGCAAGGCUAAAACUCAAANAGAUGAGNGNGAGAGNGCGAGCGACGACGAGGGAGGAGG
rnacentral:rRNA from 1 species